rnacentral:rRNA from 1 species
CCUACGGGAGGCAGCAGUGGGGAAUAUUGCACAAUGGGCGAAAGCCUGAUGCAGCAACGCCGCGUGAGCGAUGAAGGCCUUCGGGUCGUAAAGCUCUGUCCUCAAGGAAGAUAAUGACGGUACUUGAGGAGGAAGCCCCGGCUAACUACGUGCCAGCAGCCGCGGUAAUACGUAGGGGGCUAGCGUUAUCCGGAAUUACUGGGCGUAAAGGGUGCGUAGGUGGUCCUGCAAGUCUGGAGUGAAACGCAUGAGCUCAACUCAUGCAUGGCUUUGGAAACUGGAGGACUGGAGAGCAGGAGAGGGCGGUGGAACUCCAUGUGUAGCGGUAAAAUGCGUAGAUAUAUGGAAGAACACCAGUGGCGAAGGCGGCCGCCUGGCCUGUUGCUGACGCUGAGGCACGAAAGCGUGGGGAGCAAAUAGGAUUAGAUACCCGGGUAGUC